GAUGAACGCUGGCGGCGUGCCUAAUACAUGCAAGUCGAGCGAACAGACGAGGAGCUUGCUCCUCUGACGUUAGCGGCGGACGGGUGAGUAACACGUGGAUAACCUACCUAUAAGACUGGGAUAACUUCGGGAAACCGGAGCUACUACCGGAUAAUAUAUUGAACCGCAUGGUUCAAUAGUUAAAGACGGUUUUGCUGUCACUUAUAGAUGGAUCCGCGCCGCAUUAGCUAGUUGGUAAGGUAACGGCUUACCAAGGCAACGAUGCGUAGCCGACCUGAGAGGGUGAUCGGACACACUGGAACUGAGACACGGUCCAGACUCCUACGGGAGGCAGCAGUAGGGAAUCUUCCGCAAGGGGCGAAAGCCUGACGGAGCAAAGCCGCGUGAGUGAUGAAGGUCUUCGGAUCGUAAAACUCUGUUAUUAGGGAAGAACAAAUGUGUAAGUAACUAUGCACGUAUUGACGGUACCUAAUCAGAAAGCCACGGCUAACUACGUG
rnacentral:rRNA from 1 species